AUGAAUUCUGCACACGUGUGGGUGCUGAUGGCUGCUUUGAGCCUUGGAAAUAGUGAGCAAAGGGUAAACCAGCCGACAGGGGAUGUGCACGAUGUGGAGGGCGCGACAGUGACGCUGGACUGUAGCUACAAUAGCUUACAGGGCAACGAUUAUGUUUUCUGGUAUAAACUGGAAGGAAACGCAGCACCCGACUUUGUUUUGAGCGUCUCUCAGUAUGGUCAUCCCAAGUAUGGGGAUAAGUACUCCGACAGGUUAAACUCCAGCAUAAAUGCCAGUGCCCGGCGAGCUCCUCUGCAUAUCAAGUGGUUAAAGCAGAACGACUCAGCAAUCUUCUUCUGUGCCCUGCAGCCCACACUGACACAUCCACUUCUGUGCCAGUACAAAAACACCUGCAUCCGAUCCAGAGGUCACAUGGAAGGUGCCGUUCACUGUGACAACUCACAAGAAUAA